rnacentral:rRNA from 1 species
AAAAUAUCCACUUCCUGAAGAUGAAAAGCGAGGGGGGGGGCCCUUGGAGGGAAAAGAGGGAACAAGGUCUCACUUUGGUGAUCCAGAGGAGGGAUCAUUAGGAGUUUUUGGAAGUAAAAGUCGUAACAAGGUUUCCGUAGGUGAACCUGCGGAAGGAUCAUUACCGAGUUGAUUCGAGCUCCGGCUCGACUCUCCCACCCUUUGUUUACCUACCUCUGUUGCUUUGGCGGUGCCGCCUUCGGGCGCCCGCCAGAGGACUUCAAAACUCCAGUCAGUGAACGUCUCAGUCUGAAAAACAAGUUAAUAAACUAAAACUUUCAACAACGGAUCUCUUGGUUCUGGCAUCGAUGAAGAACGCAGCGAAAUGCGAUAAGUAAUGUGAAUUGCAGAAUUCAGUGAAUCAUCGAAUCUUUGAACGCACAUUGCGCCCCUUGGUAUUCCGGGGGGCAUGCCUGUUCGAGCGUCAUUUCAACCCUCAAGCUCUGCUUGGUAUUGGGCUCCGUCCUCCUCGGACGCGCCUCAGAGACCUCGGCGGUGGCGUCUUGCCUCAAGCGUAGUAGAAACACCUCGCUUUGGAGUGCAUGGCGUCGCCCGCCGGACGAAACCUUUUGUAUUUUCUCAAAGGUUGACCUCGGAUCAGGUAGGGAUACCCGCUGAACUUAAGCAUAUCAAUAAUCGGAGGAAUCACCUUUCGGGAAGGAGGGAAAUGAGAUCAGGAAGGAAUACCCCGCUGAACUUAAGCAUAUCAUUUAAUGCAAAGCAAAGUGAAUCACCAGCUAG